GUUUCAUGUUAAUCUAUUAGUAUUCAGUGAAAAAGGGAAAUAGAUUCUCAAAUUAAUUUGCUGCCAUGUCUGCUAAAAAAUCGCUUGGAGUUCUCCUCAUCUUGUCUACACUCAUGGUGAUUGUGUUGUGUGGUCGAAAAGGUUUUGGCUAUAGAUAUGCAAGUAUAAGUUGCAAAGAAGAAUGGAAACAAAGCGAAUACUAUGCCAUAGAUCUCUGUACCCGGUGCCAGUGUUGGUCAAAAUCACUAAAUUCCGCUUAUUGCACAAUAGAAGAUUGUGGGACUCUGACGUGUGAACAAGAAGGUACAGAAAUUUACCAGCCACCGCAUAAGUGUUGUCCGGAAUGUGUACCGGUAACGAUAAGAUUUCGAAACUGAUCAAGGUUUAAAAAGAUCAAUAUGAUAUUGUAUGAUAAAAAAAAUGUGUACAAAAUUAUAUGAUUGAACUUUAUAUGUAUAUAUAUUGUAA
rnacentral:sRNA from 13 species